AGUUUGUUGUUUGAAUGGAUGAACCCAUUGCCUACGUACCAUCACAAAGGAGGAUCAAAACCUCGUAGUUCGGGGUAAAAAAAUCUCAAAGAUUGGUGAAUUGAUUUGACCAAAAGCCUUAGGGUCUUUUGUUAUCAAAGGGAGAAAACUCAAUGUAAACCAACAAUCCAUCAUGUGAGGAAGGCUUCAACAUGCUAGUGAGGGGUU
rnacentral:lncRNA from 1 species